GGCCCGAGUGGUGAUCGUGAUUAUUGGGUCUAAAGGGUCCGUAGCCCGGUUUGGUCAGGUCCUCCGGGAAAUCUGAUAGCUCAACUAUUAGGCUUUCGGGGGAUACUGCCAGACUUGGAACCGGGAGAGGUAAGAGGUACUACAGGGGUAGGAGUGAAAUCUUGUAAUCCCUGUGGGACCACCUGUGGCGAAGGCGUCUUACCAGAACGGGUUCGACGGUGAGGGACGAAAGCUGGGGGCACGAACCGGAUUAGAUACCCGGGUAGUCCCAGCCGUAAACGAUGCUCGCUAGGUGUCAGGCAUGGCGCGACCGUGUCUGGUGCCGCAGGGAAGCCGUGAAGCGAGCCACCUGGGAAGUACGGCCGCAAGGCUGAAACUUAAAGGAAUUGGCGGGGGAGCACAACAACGGGUGGAGCCUGCGGUUUAAUUGGACUCAACGCCGGACAACUCACCGGGGGCGACAGCAAUAUGUAGGCCAAGCUGAAGACUUUGCCUGAAUCGCUGAGAGGUGGUGCAUGG
rnacentral:rRNA from 1 species